rnacentral:rRNA from 1 species
AAAAGAAACCAACAGGGAUUGCCUUAGUAACUGCGAGUGAAGCGGCAAAAGCUCAAAUUUGAAAUCUGGCGUCUUCGGCGUCCGAGUUGUAAUUUGGAGGGAUAUCUUCGGGGUUGGCGCCGUCUUAAGUUCCUUGGAACAGGACGUCAUAGAGGGUGAGAAUCCCGUGCCUGGAUGGCUGCCCAACUCCAUGUGAAGUGUCUCCGACGAGUCGAGUUGUUUG